rnacentral:rRNA from 1 species
UCCACACUGUAAACGAUGAUAACUCGCUGUCGGCGAUACACAGUCGGUAGCCAAGCGAAAGCGAUAAGUUAUCCACCUGGGGAGUACGACCGCAAGGUUGAAACUCAAAGGAAUUGACGGGGGCCCGCACAAGCGGAGGAACAUGUGGUUUAAUUCGAUGAUACGCGAGGAACCUUACCCGGGCUCGAACGGUGCAGGAAUAUGACAGAGAUGUCAUAGCUAGCAAUAGUCUGUAUCGAGGUGCUGCAUGGUUGUCGUCAGCUCGUGCCGUGAGGUGUCGGCUUAAGUGCCAUAACGAGCGCAACCCUUGUCGUUAGUUGCC